GCCACAUGAUGAGUCGUAGAUGCAGCAGCCUUCGGGCCGUGUUGACUUUCUAUCUAUCACCCUUCUCUGAUGGCU